rnacentral:tRNA from 1 species
UCCGAUAUGGUGUAGUGGCUAACAUUAUCGCCUCUCAUUUCAGAACGCGAUAGCCCGGGGUUUGAUUCCCCGUGUCGGAA